UACAGAGGUCUCAAGCGUUGUUCGGAUUCAUUGAGCGUAAAGGGUGCGUAGGCGGCGCGGUAAGUCGAGUGUGAAAUCUCGGAGCUUAACUCCGAAACUGCAUUCGAUACUGCCGUGCUUGAGGACUGGAGAGGAGACUGGAAUUUACGGUGUAGCGGUGAAAUGCGUAGAUAUCGUAAGGAAGACCAGUGGCGAAGGCGGGUCUCUGGACAGUUCCUGACGCUGAGGCACGAAGGUCAGGGGAGCAAACGGG
rnacentral:rRNA from 1 species